CGCUGGCGGCAGGCCUAACACAUGCAAGUCUAACGGAUCCUUCGGGAUUAGUGGCGGACGGGUGAGUAACACGUGGGAACGUGCCCUUUGGUUCGGAACAACUCAGGGAAACUUGAGCUAAUACCGGAUAAGCCUUUCGAGGGAAAGAUUUAUCGCCAUUGGAGCGGCCCGCGUAGGAUUAGCUAGUUGGUGGGGUAAAGGCCCACCAAGGCUACGAUCCUUAGCUGGUCUGAGAGGAUGAUCAGCCACAUUGGGACUGAGACACGGCCCAAACUCCUACGGGAGGCAGCAGUGGGGAAUCUUGCGCAAUGGGCGAAAGCCUGACGCAGCCAUGCCGCGUGAAUGAUGAAGGUCUUAGGAUUGUAAAAUUCUUUCACCGGGGACGAUAAUGACGGUACCCGGAGAAGAAGCCCCGGCUAACUUCGUGCCAGCAGCCGCGGUAAUACGAAGGGGGCUAGCGUUGCUCGGAAUUACUGGGCGUAAAGGGAGCGUAGGCGGAUAGUUUAGUCAGAGGUGAAAGCCCGGGGCUCAACCCCGGAACGGCCUUUGAAACUAGGUAGCUAGAAUCUUGGAGAGGUCAGUGGAAUUCCGAGUGUAGAGGUGAAAUUCGUAGAUAUUCGGAAGAACACCAGUGGCGAAGGCGACUGACUGGACAAGUAUUGACGCUGAGGUACGAAAGCGUGGGGAGCAAACAGGAUUAGAUACCCUGGUAGUCCACGCCGUAAACGAUGAUAACUAGCUGUCCGGGCACUUGGUGCCUGGGUGGCGCAGCUAACGCAUUAAGUUAUCCGCCUGGGGAGUACGGUC
rnacentral:rRNA from 1 species